UCUUCUAUUGAUAACUGCUUCCCCGGGUCAAAGCCCCUCCUCUAGCAAGCAAUGAACAAGAUCAUGAAGUCAAAUCCUGCUAUGUAUGUGCUGAGGGAGAGAAUAAGAAAGGGUCUUCAAUUGUCAUCCACACAAGUGUAUGGGCAGGACAAAAGCGUCUAGGGCAGCUGGCCAAGUGGAAAACAGCCGAGGAGGUUGCUGCACUAGUUCGAUCGCUUCCCGUUGAAGAGCAGCCAAAGCAAAUUAUUGUGACAAGGAAGUGUAUGUUGGAGUCCAUCUGCCAUUCCAAGCUUGCUUGAAGAUUGACAGGUUUGGUCUCAAGGCUACGGAACCGCAGAUGGUUCUUUAUAACAUAUACGAUGACUGGUUGAAAAGUAUCUCGUCCUACACUGCAUUCUCUCAUCUUGUGCUUAUACUACGAGCAUUACAUGUUAAUAAUGAGAAGGCCAAGAUGUUGCUGAAGCCUGACAAGACAAUGAUUAUGGAACUGCAUCAUAUCUGGCCAUCAAUCUUUGACUGAUGAGUAGUGUCUGAAGGUGGAAUGUGCGCUCAGAGAUAUCAUUCUUUCAGAUUAUGCAAAGAAAAACAAUGUUAAUACUGCCCCACCGUCACAGCAGAGGCAACAGAUAGCGGAGAUUGAGAAACAGUUUAUUUCACGGCAAAGAAGAUUGAUUAUAUGAACUUAUAUCAGAGAACUGCACCUACGUAGAAUCUACAGACACGGGAUGCAGGUUUCCUGUAUGGGCCGGAUAAUCCCCAAGUGGAGAUGAGAUGCAUAUCUAUUCCGCCACAGCAUGGAACUCACCGGCCAGAUGGUGACUUUGCCGGCGAAUCUCCCAGAUCAUGAGUUCCUUGCUGACUUGGAGCUGUUGGGACCCAGACAAAUGAAGCUCCUAAGCUAUCACCUCAGGAUUUGACAUCACAUGCUAAAAUUUUGGAGAGAAGAACAAACAGUGGGAUGGUGACAAGUGCAUCAUUUUGACCUGUCGGUGAACAUCUUUGGUCAGUGGUUAUGUUUGCGAGAACAAAAAAACCUAUCGUGGCCAGUGGCCAUCGCUUGUCAAACUGAUUCGUUAUCGUCAAGCGGAUGUUUUGCUUGGUGUUAUCAUCCUUGCCUCGUUGAUGCUUUGUGAUUGUUGAAGCAUCUGGUUGCUCUUGUUCUUAAGAUUGGAGUAGUUGCAGAUUUCUGUUGCUAGA